rnacentral:rRNA from 1 species
UACAGAGGGGGCAAGCGUUGUUCUGAAUUACUGGGCGUAAAGGGCGCGUAGGCGGCCUUCUAAGUCGAACGUGAAAUCCCCGGGCUCAACCCGGGAACUGCGUCCGAUACUGGAAGGCUUGAAUCCGGGAGAGGGAUGUGGAAUUCCAGGUGUAGCGGUGAAAUGCGUAGAUAUCUGGAGGAACACCGGUGGCGAAGGCGACAUCCUGGACCGGUAUUGACGCUGAGGCGCGAAAGCCAGGGGAGCAAACGGG